UACGUAGGUGACAAGCGUUGUCCGGAUUUACUGGGCGUAAAAAGCGCGCAGGCGGUCGAUCAAGUCGAGUGUGAAAGCCCCCGGCUCAACUGGGGAGGGUCAUUCGAUACUGAUCGACUCGAAGGCAGGAGAGGGUAGUGGAAUUCCCGGUGUAGUGGUGAAAUGCGUAGAUAUCGGGAGGAACACCAGUGGCGAAGGCGACUACCUGGCCUGUUCUUGACGCUGAGGCGCGAAAGCUAGGGGAGCAAACGGG
rnacentral:rRNA from 1 species